GCGGCUGCGCGCGGGCCGGGCCGGGGCGCCGGCGCCGGCUCGUCACGCCACUACCAGCUCCUGCUAUGCCAGAUGCCAUUACUGAAUUGCAGUCCUGCUUCUCAAGCAACCAAGAACUUGCACCUCUUGCUGACACCCAGCAGGACAGAAGCAGGCUGGGUACCGUUUGAAAAGAGUUCACAUCAGAGUCUGUCAAAAGAACAACACAAAGCAAAGGAGAAGUCUUUCUGCGCUUGCCUUUGCUUUGGAGAGAGAAGAGCAAGGGCCCAGCACUGAACAGAAGGUUGGCUUUGCCUGUCACACUGCAGGGCAGAGAAAUUGCUUCCCCCGCACACUCGCAGACUGGGUGAGGUUGGAAGGGGACUCUGCAGAUCAUCUAGUCCAACCUCCCUGCUCAGCCAAGACAACCUAGAGCAUGGUAGACAGGAUCGCAUGCGGGUGGGUUUUGAGUUAUCUCCAGAGACGGAGACUCCGCAACCUCUCUGGGCAACCUGUUCGAGUGUGCUGAAAAAUCAGACUCCCUGACUGGGAAUUCAACCUGGACCAUGGUGCUGAGAGCACCAGAUCCUAACCACUAGAGCACCAGGGAGCUUUGUUCUUUCCCCUUUGCACACUGCACAUGGACCUAAUACCCUUCCAGACCAGUGGGCUUUAAAACCUCUCACCGCUGCCAGAAGAUCCCCCCCUCCCCUCUGCCCAGACCACAGGGAGCCUCCUUCUACAAGGCAGCAGGAGUCAAGAGCCCCAGUAGCAGCAGGACCUGAACUCGAGGCCCCCGUCUCAACACACUCCUGCUUGCAGCCUCCACUGGGGAAAAGGACACAGUCCGCCUUCUGGCCCUUGGCCGGGCUGCCGGGGCAGGCUGAAGGAGCAGCCGGCAAGCCAAACGAAGGCAGCAGAGGAGAGCUCUCCCUUGCUCCAACGGCCUCUCUUCCCGCAGCCCUGCACGUACCUGAUUCUAGGCCACAUCAAGGCGAGAGAGGGCGAGGGAGGGAGGGAGAAGGGCUAACCGCCUGCCCAGACUAAGCCUUCAAAACCACAACUUUCAUCGUGCGUUCUGGUUAGGGCUGAGCAACGCCAGUCCUGGGACAAAACACAGCUGUUCCCCUACAAUGCAGCAACAGGCCAGACUCCCACCAGCUUUGCCCCUCCGGCACCAAGCCGGCAGGUACUGUUCUGGAAGAGACAAGCGGCGGGAGUAAGAGGGUACAGUCAUAUGGGCAGGGCUGCCUAGGGCAGGAAGGGGAAUGGAAGAAAACAGACACACGUACUGCAUUACAACAUUUAGUAAAUACAAAGCUGGGACAGAACACGUUCAGUUCAACACAGCAUGUUGUUAUGGACACACCACGCCAUUAAGAGGCACAAGGCAUGUUUCCCCAGGCUUCCUUCGUCUCAUCUAUCCACACUCAGCCUUCUGCAAAGGUGAAUUCCUGUGCACCAGCAUCUUCCAGUCAGCUGAUGACGACUGCUGCAGGCGUGAAAUGACGAAGGCAGCUGUUCCCGAGCGGCGGCUCCCCAGCAUCUUUUGUCAAAUCAGGUCACAUCCUUUUGGGUCAAAACAUCGCAGUGCUCAUGGGUUGCCCUCGAAAGCGGCUCCUGCUCUACGUUCUCGGAAGAGCCUUCAGAAGAUGCCCAGGCAGCACCUCCCACCGAUGCAGUUUUCACUUCAGCCACUGCUGAGGAGGCCAGGCGGGGCAGGGGGAAGAAAAUGCCCUCGUUAGUGUUACAGGAGGAAAAGGCAACAAGUCCCCAAACCAAACAAACCAGAUCAGCCCCAGCAGACAGGCACCUCCAUUCACAACACAAGCGGAUUCCACGCAACGGACUUGCGUCCGUCCAAGCAAAUGCAAAGACCUAUAAAGCAGCAGCCGGCCACUCGCUAGGAGCUUAAGGAGCUCUGGAACAGAAGGAAUUGCUCUCAGGGGCUACCCGCUUGGAAACAGGCCCAGGCACUGCAAAGCCGUGACUCUGCGGGAACGAUUUUCAUGAAGAGCUGGCAUUACACAGGGCUCUGGGGGUCUGUGGGUACGCGCCCGUACCUUGUUCUUCCCUCUCCCUCUUGUGUAAGGCAGCUGCAUUAUAUUCCGUACCACUAUUAUUCGGAUAAGCAGGAAGUUUGCACAUCAAGCGCCUUGUUGGAAAGCUACUAGAAAACAACUGUGCUUAGCACAGCAGCUUGACAGCUUUCAAGUGGUUGUGUUCAAAAGCUAGGGACCGUCAUCUUCCUUCAUUACACUGCUAGCGUAUCCCCACAAAGUACCUUGCUCGAGCUCUUCAGCGAUAGCUUUGACCACUCCCGCCGCACCUGGAAGCAUAGACAGGAUUCCCUCAAGACCUCACAGUUACCCGCUUGCAGGACUAGCUUCUACAGCCUUUGGAAACCCAGCUGUAACGUGGAAUAACAACUGGAAACACCAUCCCCCACGCUGAGAAAUACUUUGUCCACCACAACGCAGCAUUCUCAUUACUGCGUGGCAUUAACUGCAGCACAAAGCAGCCUGCAGUUCAGCCGUUUUCUCACAUUCUGCUUUUUAAAGAGGACAGCAAAAAGCACAAAGACUUCACAGCAGCGGAGGCCUAGAGGGCUAUCCACAAGGGCACAAGCAGCACGGUUACACCGUUACAUAAGGCUUGUGAGGGUUCAUCACGAUGCAGGCCGAGACCCCUAGAAGCGACUGUCCAAACCGAGAGCGUACAGCUUCCGGGCUUAGGCAAAGAGCAAACAGCGCAAGCUGAACCCCUGUGGGCAUCACCACUAAUUCUGGCACACACACAGGCUCACCCACCAACACACCCACCCAGAGAAGAACCAAAACGCUGCCGAAUUUAAUUUAACGGCUCUUUUUCAGCCAGCACUGCUGGCUUACUAUUUAGCCACCGGGCUGGCCCAAGGACGGUCAUCUGGAUCACCCUGUGAGACUCCACAAGACAACGCUCACAGCUUAGCAACUCAACUCGACAACAUUACCGGCACGGGUACAGGCACAGGUACAGUACCCAGGCACGUCACUGAAACAGGAUCCUUGCUAUGCGUGGGGCACCACAGCACCCAGUUAGAAUCAGAGGUGCCCGUACACUUCUCACGGAUAGAACAGACGGAAGAGGCGACCUUGCCCAGGCCUCCACUCAGUGCAAAGGGGGCAACGGAUCACUGAAGAUGCACUUACAGUGCCUUACCUCAGCCAUAUGAGCUUCCACUCGCUCUUCCACAGAGGAAGCAUUGCCCACUGGGUUCAUCAGCAGAGAGUGGCUUCUGCAGCGCUCAUGAGCAGGUGCGGCAACGGCUUCCACAAACCUCUCACUAGCUCUGGCUCGAUGCAGGCGUUUUGUGAGGGCCAGUUCCCAUUCUAAAUCGCUAACUCUCCGCUGCAGUCGGCCUACCGUGGAAGCUUCAGUAGCGGCUCUGAUCUGAUCCACUCGCUCCUGGGUGGCUGCCUGUGUCUGAAGCAGAUCACGCAAUUUCAACCCCCAGGAAAGAAAAAGAGAACGCCCACCCCUAGUCAGCUUCACACACCCAAUUUCAAGAGCACAACCUUACUCAGCGAGGCAACAGUGCCUCCUCACUGCCCUCAACAAUCAGGGCUCAAACUCUAAGGCACCAACUUUUAGAGUUUUCAAUCAAAGCUCGGACUAAGCAACCUCUGUCUCGGCAAGACACUACUCUCCUUGCAAUUCUUCUCUUGGUGCUGUUACCUGAUUCCCCAGUGACCCGUGUGUGCAAAGAAGAGUAUUCAUAGACUCUCAGGGGGGUUCAGGAGAACCAUUCAACAAGCUCACAGCCUUCAACAGCCUCCUGAAGACAGAAGGAGCCCUUGACUCCACAGCCCUGACCGGCAGAAGCAGGAAGUACUGAGAAAUGACCACAGUAAGGAAGAGAGGAAUGACAAGGCACAGAUGCACUGCACAUACUAGAGGGAAGGAAGCUUACGCGCAGAAAGAGAUUGACUUCCUCCAGUUUUUGCCUUAGCUCUUGCUCUGCUCUUUCUUCAAUCUCCCUUCUAUAGUCUUCACCGUGCCUGGGAUCCAUCUUCUUGGCCUCUAAAUGACGCCUGAGGGCAACCACCUCUUCUUCCAGCAGCCGCUUGCUCUUCCGCAGACUUUCGCGGCUCCCGUGCAUCCAGGCCAAUUCUUCUCGCAAACCUUCAUUUGCUUUCUCUAGCUGCCUCGAUCUUCUCCGCUCUCUCGCCAGCCAGUUGGAAAGUUCGUGGACCUGUACACAGGGGAAGGACAGGCUCACUUAACCAGAGGCAUGUUACAUGCCUGCCACACACUCAGGACAGAACCCACAAGAAACACAUCCUCUUCUGCCCAUGACACUGAAUGCCCAUGACAGCUGUGCUCCAGAGAGUAGCUUUUCAAGCAGUGCAGGAAGAAGGCAUUUUCUCUUCUAGAUCCAGGGGGCUGUUUCUUUUCAGAAACUCUUAGCAAGCACCAGGACUUCAGGAGGCCCCAAUGGGCAACUCAAACUCUGUCUUCCUUCUUCUCCUUUCUUCUCCUCUCCGCAGAAAUUCACCUUUUCCACACCAGCACCCUGGUAUUGCAACAUUUCUUCACUUACCAAAGGAUUAGGCAGAGGUUUUCAGGGAACAUAUGGAAAAGCCAUUUGUUUCAAGACACAGCCACCAGGUAAUUAACAACACCAGACAAAAUUGGGAAAAAAAAAUCCUACAGGUUUCCAAAAAAAAAAAUAACCCAAAAAAAAAAGACAAACAGAUCAAAGCUCACCUUUGCUCUUAAUCUACCAACUUCAUCGCCCUUUCCAGAACAUGCGCCCUCUGUUUUGCUCUGGAAAUCCAACUGGGACUCACUCUCUCGCCUCUCAUAUGCCCUCAGUUUCUUCAUAGCUGUUUCCAGGAGCCUCUUGGACCUGCAGCAAUUUGUAAAGUAAGUCAGCAAGUAAAAUGGGAAGCCCAAGGACAGUCAGCCUCUGCCUGAAAACACAGGUACAGAGCUUCUUCCUGCCCUGCAACCCUCCCUUCCCACAACAACUGCAGGGCAGCCUGCACUUCCACCUACCUAAGGCCAUACGCUUACGUACAAAGCCACCUGCAAGAUCUAAAGCAAGGCUUGAAGUUGCUUACACUCCUGUGCUCAAAGUCACAGGCUCAGGUAAAGCUUGAACCCAGCCUAGCCGCUACGUCUUGCAAGUACGGAAAUCCUGCACCUACCUGUUGCACUCUUUCUGCAAUUCGAUGUUUCUUUGCAUUUCUUCCUCCAGGCGGGCUUCUGCUGGUUGUUCCCACUCUGCCAGCUUCUUCACGGACUUUCCGUUGCUCUCACACUUCCCAAGCAGAAAGGAGAAAUGGCACACGCGACUCAGUAACGGCCUCUAUACGCACUCGCUGCAGGCAGCGUUCCUCACAAAGCUGCUACAGGACGUCUCCCUCUGCUAGCCAAGGGACGGCCGCGGAACUCCAGGGCACAGAAUUCCCACGUAAAGGGCAGCGCCUCAGCCUUCCCACCACACAGGCCAAUUCCGAGGGACAGAAAGAGUUGCCCGUCAGCCCUCCUCCCGCUCCCCUCCUCCCCCUCAAAAGUGAACGCCACUCGCUAUGAGGGGCUCGCGGGGAGGAAAACACACUGGAAGAAGAAAUUCACAGCAACCGUUGAUGUACCUGCUGAUUUUGGUCUUCCCCCAAAGGCACCCGUCUUGUCCCUAAGCCAGGCAUCAGGUCCUCCAGGCCAUUAUGAACCUACGGAAGCAUUAAAAGAAGUCAAAAAGCCACACGGACUCCUUCCAGGCAGAAGCUGACACCUCACUCAAGGGGUAUGACCAAAAAGAAAUGCCACAGACCUUUCUCCAUCUCCUUACUCCUUUACUAUCUAACCCCAGUUCCAGUCAUCCAGCAGUUCCCCUUCACUGAGGGCUUGUCUCUACCCACCUAGCCCCAGCAUACCAGAAUAAAGCUGCCCAUGGAUGGAGCAGGACAAUAUUACUUGCACCUUGGCUUCUUUGGAGUUCUUUGAGUCACUCCACGGACUUACACCUCUGAGCCAAGGAAUCCAUCGGCACUACACAGGCAAGGGGCUCAGAGGCCGGGAAUGGAAUUCUUGUCACAGCCUGAGCUCGCCAGUUAGGAGGGCUCGGCGACAAAGCGCUCGGCACCAAGGCAAUGCCACAAGCUAACUUGCAGAGUGCCCUGAAGGCAGGAACGUCUGAAGUGCUGCUGCCUGAUGCCUUACACACCACGACGGGGAUAAAGCAGCAAACAUUUAAACCAGCACACGAGUGUCAAACCCGAACCUCAGCCAGUGUUAAGGAAGACUCAGCAGAGUACCCCGUGAAAACUCUCUAAACCAGGAAGCCGGGCAGUGCACCAACAGCAGCCGAUCCUCGGUGGGCUGCAGCAAAUGCUUUCUUUCCCCCAGCCUCCCCAGGAAAAUCCCUUCUGAACAUCCCCCCCCCCCCCCACACACACACACACAUAACUAGGCUCAGUAGCUCAUCAAAAAGGAAGGCCAUGACCAGCUUACAGAGGCUGAGCUGUGCAGCUCUUCCUGAAGAGCUUCCAGGCGAGCAGUCUGUUCCUGGGCUCUGCCUUCCAGGCUGGCCUUUGCCUGUUCAAGCCUUGACAAGAAACACAGGUCUCGUUAACGGGAGCCCACAAGAGCACAAACACUGACACAACAGCGUGAAAUAACGUAAGCUAAAGCAAAAGCCUCUCUCAAAAUCACAUACUGACUGGCUGCCAUGCAGCAAGGUGAUCCUGCUGUUUUUGCACCAUCCCAGAAAGCUUCACUGCGACAGCUCCUUACCGUGCCACUCGCUCUUCCACAUCCUUCCGGCUAAUGGCUCCCGAGGAGCCCGAGGAGGCUUCCGGAAGGUCUUGCAGUUGCCGGCAAGAAGCCAUCGCUUCCCUUUGCUCGUCUUCCAGGGCCCUCUUCAAAUCCUGAGCACAACGCUCGGACUGAACGCGCUGUUCUUCCAACUCCUGCAGCUGUAAAACCCCAACCAGGACCCACGGUAGGCAGCUUGUUCUCAUACAGACAAGUCGACUCCUUCGACUCCCGAGUCGACGCUCCAAAACCCUGGUGCUUCAUCCUCUUGCAUACUGGCCUCUCCCAUCCCCAGCUCAACUUCCUACAAGCGGCCCUAAACACUGCUGCAGCACCAGCCCUACUCUUUCAAUGACCCGUGACGCUCCUGGCCUCCAGCCGGUCGCCCCUCCCAGGGGAAGCAUUACUCGCAACGUUCACCCUUCUCCUGCAGCGACUUCCCAGCUCCAUAAUAACGGCCGUGAGCACAGCAGUCUGAACAGCAAAAUGCACAACACACUCCGGGCAUCUCUAGCUCACCCACUGUCACCUUCAAGUCAGCCUCAAAGCUCAGGCGGCUUGUGACAGGCAACCAACAGCUUUCUUCAGACCUACCCACCAGAGAGCUGCUCCCCACACACUGCUUCGCCCCUCACGCUUGAAACAGGCUCCUUCAAGAGCCCGUUGUGUUUGCCACCGCCUUCAUGCCUUACCACAGCCUAGAAUGACUGACUUCCUCAGACCCCCCAGGCGCUUGGUCACAGAAUACUGCUGGGCCCCUUUUCAUCGGUUACAGGGAAAAACAACAUUCUCCUCACAGCCAUUAAUGUAGUUACAGCCUUUGCCUACCUUGCCUUUAACCCUGACCAGCUCCUUCUGCAGCCGCAGUUUGUCUUCUUCCAGGUCCCUGAGAUAACGCGUGGCAACCGCCAGCAAAGCUUCUGACGUCGACCGCUUUUCAAGAGCGUCGGUAACCUCCUGCUGCACCUGUCCGGCCAUACCCUGAUGAAACGGUUACACGCGCAUGAAGAAAAGGGUACGAACACGGACUAUGCUUUUACUUUCACCAAUCAGAUUACGUAAUUACAUCAGUCUUCAGAGUGAACUCAAAGAUGAGCAGUUUUGCCCACCACCAGUGUGCAUCUGCACAGCUGCUCACUGCUAUCCAUCCUGGCCCACUGAGGGCAGCUGAACUAUCGCUGUCUCUUAAGGAGGGUCGUGGUUUCCUAAUACUUCAUUUAGUAUUGGGACUUUAGUUCCUUGUUUCUCUCCUCCAUCAGCUAAGCUUGCUUUUCAGUGUCAGCUCUGAGUUUAUUGAAAAUAGCUUCAGAUGUGCCCUGACACCCCUCACUACCUUUCCUUUGAUGAUCCUCUUGUUCUGCCUAUCUCCUAGCUGCUGACAGAGGAAAAGGUUUUCACUGUGGAGCAGAGCCAGUCGUUCCUGCAGAGGUUCUUGCCUUAUCGUAUACUUGCUUACCUGAUCUUUCUCAGGCUGGCGAGCACGGUCACAUUCCUUCGCCCGACUUUGCGCUGGACUUGAGUCUUUCGGCACCACUUCUGAAAGCAAUGUUCUUUCUCUAAGCCUCCCUUUCAGUUGGUGAAGUUCACUUUCUAGACUACUAGCCUUGCUCUCAGCUUUGCUCAGCUGCUGAGACAAGCUCUCACUAGCGUCUCGUGCAUCACAGAGGUCACGACGGAGCUUGUCCUGCAAACGAAGCCACUCGUCACGCUCUCUCUGAAACGUUUGCUCAACAUUGCUUUUCGAUGCCUCAUGACGUUCAAGUUCCUCAAGAGCAGAGCUCAGGCGGGAGCGCAGCGAUUCCACCUCUGCCUCCAGUUGAUCUUUGCUUUCUUUUGCCUGCUCCAGUUUGCCAGUCAGCACUGCCGAUUCCGUCUUUACUGAGUUCAGCUGCCCGUUGUACCGACGAACGGUUCGUGUUAAAGCCUCCUCGUUCAGCUUAAGUUCCUUUCGAAGAUCUUCAUUCUUUUCUUUCAAGGUCCCAUUUGACCCUAAAUGUUUUGCUUCUUCCUCCUGGCUCCUGCGCCUUUCUUGAUCAGCCUCGAGUCUUAGUACGGCAAUCUCAUCUCGUACUAAUCGAUGCUUGUACAACAGCUCCUUUUCUCUCGCAUUGCUGCCCGACACCUACGUGAUAAAGAAUACAAAUAAAUAGAGAGUGGGGAAAUGAACCCACAAGAACGCUUGAGCAGCAAACUGCUUUUUAACAUUUGCAAUACUGAAGCAGGACUCAGACAGCAGCUUAGGUAUUACCACAAAUAUCAUUCUCAUCCCUGAGCCUAUGCACCCCUACAAGCAAUGCACACACUGGAAGCAGAACAUGCCCUCAAAACCCUAGUGAAUGCCCCAAGUCUAAAAUGUCUUUUCUCCCCCCGCUAAAUCCGGCAACCCAACAAUAAACUUAAUUUAAAAAGCUUAACAAAAUACUUUUUGCCUUCUUUUUAAAAGUGACAGUGCUAGGUUGCAUAUGCAUGGUAUAUUGUCUAUUACAGGCCUUCAAAAUAUUUCUUUAAAGGUAAAUGUAGGUGUGCUAUGAAGUCUGGGAAAACAGGCCUAGCAAAGGUAUUUUGCUUCUCUGACAUUUAGCUGAACUGCACUAAACAUGAAUGCUGCUUCUCAAACGCCUCCUUCACACUGUAGCCUUCUGUAUCACGACAGGUUAGCUAUACAACCACAACCUACCACCCCGGGGGUGUAGUACUCUGAUUAAUUUCCUUCCUUGUUUAUUAUAUAUGCAACCUUCUUGUGCAUAUAUAAUCUUGUGCUCUCUGGGUACUGUAGCAUAGCACAAAUAAUGCUUUCAAGCACUGGAUCUGCACAAUGCCUUCCGUUAACUCUUUUCAGGAUUUCUUUAAGGAGCAUUCUUAUGAUCCUUUCUCCUCCUCCUCCUCCUCCAAUUAUUUUAAUUCCUAGAGAGAACUUCAUUCACUGGCGAUACUCCUUCAUACCAUUUCCAGUGGUUGAGGUGGAAAAGACACUCCCCUCCCCAAUGCACGUUUUCCUUUCCUUUUCUUUUCAAGUAAUUUUGAUGAGGAUAUAAAGAAAAGCACGCAACAGGAUCAGAUGAUGCUCUGCAACUAAAACUUUCAGACAUACUGCACAACAACUACUUUCCCGGUCAAUCUCAGGAUACCUAGGUACCUGAGCACUGCUAGAAACCUUAAAAUUCAGGAUAGCAGGUCUACACAAUGGAAAAAAAAAACAGCAGACAGCUUAACAAAUUGGGGAAAGAGUGUCUUCCUUUGUGUUGGUUUCCUACUUGCACUUGCGCUUCAGCUACAUACAAGACUGAUGCGGUCUUGUAUGCUGGUCCAGAAUUUUUAGAGACAGAAGGAAAAACAAACAAACAAAAUGGUAUUUCCACAGUCAACUUACUUGACACACCAGAAGUGAUCUGGCAAAAAGCACAGAAGUUAUUGCCAGGAAGAUCUAUCACGAUUUUAGAACAAAUAUGGUGAAAUCAAAAUCACUAGAAAUAAAACUGCCUACCUCUGAAACUUUCACUAGAGUUCUUCUUUCUUCUUCUGGGCCCUUCCGUCUCCAAGCAGGGCUGUUCAAAAUUCCUUCUCGUAGGGCUCUGGCACUCUUCUCUUGAGGAAGCGCUCUCUGUGUUUCAUCACGCUCUUCUUCAGCCUACCAUAACAUAUUUGAACUACUUAAACCUUGAGAAAAAUCAGAGCUAGCAACUCUUUCCCCAUUUUAGAUUUAGUAUUCUUUUGAAAAAAAAACUACUUUGAAUGGCAAUUCGGAAGAUUUCUCUUUUCUUUUUUUUUUUUUCUCUUUUUUUUUUUCUGAACUGGUGUCAGUUUCUGUGGUGGGGGCCAACAGGAACUGCCAGCCCCCUUAGAGCCCUCCAAACACAUCCAUAGAUUAACACCUGGACAAUACUAACGCUCUUCUAUUUCAACACCAGCUUAUGGACUACGUUCCUCUUUUCACUCUCUACAUCAGUCUACAGAGCGAUUUUUCAGUUUGCCUGCACAUUAUUUCCCUGUCCAUCAAAGCCAGGGCUUCCUACUCCCAACCCAUGGCUUUCAUCUUUCGUGCGGGUCUUCCAUUUCACAGAUGUAAAGAAACGAUUUCUGCAAUACAUCUGAAGCACAUUUGGAAUCUGCUACUCUCUGUGGUCUUCCUCCCGCGCUCAUUUGGGAAGCACAGCUUGCUUUACGCUAACACCUUCAUACGUCUUUAACACAGUCACCUGUCCGUCACCCUCAAAGUCUGUCUUUGUGGCAGCAGCCUCGUGUCUUUCACGCUUCCCUCCCUCCUUUGCAGACACCUGCGUGAGCGAGAACACAAACGAGCAGAGAGUGGGGCAAGGUAUCUCCAGGAACCUUCCGCAUCAACCUCCAUUUUAACUGGUGGCAUACCCAGCCAGCACUUGCAUCGUCGCUUAAGCAUUACCUGCAGUUUCACGGCUGCUUCUGCACUCAGGCAGGAUGUCAAGGAAUGCAGGCUCUGCAAGCACAACAGCCCUUUCAGAACCCAAAACACUGCUCGGAGCCUACCCCGACUGACUUUUUUUUGUCCUGGUGAUUACUUGGCUGCACGGUGCCAAAAACACUCCUUUCUUUGCAUACCGGGGCAAAGAAGCGGCAACCCUUCCAGCCACUUGCAGAACCAGAAUCUUCACUCUUUCAACCUUACACUAGAAAUCACACUCAAAGGCCAGUUGCCGUCACCCCUGCGACAUUAGCGCACCCGAGCUAGUCACAGGGCUCACUGAACAGCUUGCACAGAGCAGAAGCUGCUCAAGUUCACAGGAACAAACGGAUGGCGGAAGCAGCCCAAGAGGGAAGUGAGCCUCAUCACUGCUCGGGCCCACGUCCAAAGCGAGAUCCCGAGUGAUUCCCCCCACUGGGACACCACUGCGCCCCUCACUGAAAGCACCUCCGAAUCCCAGGGAGAGUCGCUCUCUUCCUCCUGCUCCACUCCUGCUGCCGAUGUAACACCUACAAAGGAAGCAAGAAAAGACGCACCGUGAGUCCUCCUUUCAUUCUGCUGCUCUCCUGCUUCAACCAAGCCUUGCACCAGAAUGCUUGAACUGGCAAUAGUUCAGCUACAGAGGCAAAACAUACAACUGUCAUGCAAGGGCAUCUUCACUCCCAGCUGCACCACCCUGUUCGCACCACUCCCUCUGCCCUUCUCUGCAGCAGAGGAUGACAAGCCCAGCAUGACCCCUCUCACGGCUACAAUGAACAGCCCCCAACAGGUGGCCACGGAGCAGCCAAACGAGGCUCUGGCAUGUCAGAGUCCGGCAGCAGCCACCUUGGGGACAGCUCCCCUCCUAAACAGGGCACCACACUCGGGCACUCACUAUCACUUUGCACAUCAGGAGAGGAGGAACCCUCAAAGCAUGAGCCAAAACAUCCUCACACGCACAGGAACGCACCAGGACACAAGACUCCUUGCCUAGCACUACCACAAAACAUCGCCCUCACUUGAUGGUCCCUUCCCCCCUGGCACUUGCUGGCAAGGCAACAGUUGGGUGCUGGCCCAUCUCACAAGCAGGUCACCAUUUCCCUUUGCUGACUCUGCACAAUGAGCAGAGAAACAAGGGCGAUCAAUGUUUAUUAACUCACCUCUCACAUCAGCAGGGGCUGCUGCAGUAUGGGCCACUUCAGGACCACCACUAGCCACUACUCCAUCCCUUUCAGGGGAUGCUUCCUAAAUGAGGCCAGACAAAAGAGUUGGAGAGGACAGAAACAAGCAUCCCCGGCACAGGCAGUCAACACCUGCCAAAAUACUUCUCUUCUCUCCACCCGCACACAGAACUCUUCUGACUUCUCUUCUGUGAGGCAGAACCUUAGUCAGACCUCCUCCUCCUCCUACCUCACUUUCACUCUUCACACCACAAGCACAUCUUACUGUCCUGCAGGACCUCUUCACACGCAGCAUCUGCAACACUCUCGCAAAGGUCACUGAGAAAGACGGAACCAGGUUACAAACCAAACACGCCUCCACCUCCUGCAGUACAGGCUGGGUUCCAGCAUCACUCUCGGAGUCCUCAUCACUGCACAGUCCCAAGGCCACACACCGCAACUGGAAAACAAAAACAAUCAAAAAGAAAAUAAAGAGGCGAAACAGGUAGCACAAGAUCACCUGCAAGCCUGGAAUGCCAUCCUCAUCUCACCUGGCUGGGGGGAAAAGAGACCUGCUUGAGCAAACCCCAGCCCCCUCCCACAAAGCACACCCGCAGAACCUGACCAGGAAGAAGGGAGAGCCAGGGGACAAAGCGUUUCAGCCGAUUUUGAACAAUAAAUGCCCUUUUGCCACAUCAGUCAGGAUUCUAUCACCAAAGCUACCGGAAACAAAGAGCAACGUCUGCAGCACAAAAGAAGACGUAAUCUAGGAGCUGAGCCACUUUGAUGGUCUAGAAAUGUGACUCCCAGGAAGCAAACCAUGUGGUCUUUUAUCUAGUCUCCUACUCUCUUUCGCGCCCAAGCACAAGACUGCUGCAUGCUCUGCCGUACCUACAAGUCUUUGAGGACACAGCGCAGAGCAGCAGAGAGGGUGGCACACAGGAGUAAAAUGUCUUUUCUCCCCCCGCUAAAUCCGGCAACCCAACAAUAAACUUAAUUUAAAAAGCUUAACAAAA